rnacentral:piRNA from 1 species
UCUUAUUUUGACAGUAGGUAUAUUUAGGCA